rnacentral:rRNA from 1 species
AUUGAACGCUGGCGGCAUGCUUUACACAUGCAAGUCGAACAGCAGCGCGGGCUUCGGCCUGGCGGCGAGUGGCGAACGGGUGAGUAAUACAUCGGAACGUGCCCAGUAGUGGGGGAUAGCUCGGCGAAAGCCGGAUUAAUACCGCAUACGACCUGAGGGUGAAAGCGGGGGAUCUUCGGACCUCGCGCUAUUGGAGCGGCCGAUGGCAGAUUAGCUAGUUGGUGGGGUAAAGGCCUACCAAGGCGACGAUCUGUAGCUGGUCUGAGAGGACGACCAGCCACACUGGGACUGAGACACGGCCCAGACUCCUACGGGAGGCAGCAGUGGGGAAUUUUGGACAAUGGGCGAAAGCCUGAUCCAGCAAUGCCGCGUGUGCGAUGAAGGCCUUCGGGUUGUAAAGCACUUUUGGCGGGAACGAAAAGGACUGUGCCAAUACCACGGUUCGAUGACGGUACCCGCAGAAUAAGCACCGGCUAACUACGUG